rnacentral:lncRNA from 1 species
AAGGAAUCUCACCUGCCUUCACCAAUUCUCUUCAGGCUCUCAGACAAGCUACUCAUAUCACACGUGCUGUCUGCUUUGUUUCUUUUUUCCACCUGAUCCACGGUCAGUUUGCUAACACUUAACAUUUGAUUUCCACUGUUUUCACCUUCCUCAGCUUUUUGGGCUGAUGUUCCGUCCGCCUCCAUCUCUUUCUCAGAUGUCUCUGGAGAAGUUUUAAUUUCUGCAACAGUUUCCUGGCUCAGGUAAUCGUGAUUGGUGAUUGCUACUGCAGAAGUUCCAUGAUUUGUUGUGCCACCUGUGCUAGUUCCCAUUGACUUGGAAAUUACUUUCAAUCUGUGCGAACUCGAUUUGUAGUGCUUCUUCUUAUGCUUAUCUUUGGAAUUGUGCCUCAAGAAAAAUUCGCAUGAUUCUUGCAGUACUCUUCGGCUCUCACUGAUGGGAUCUCUCUUGCGGUUUCUGUUGAAGAAAUUGGCCCAUUCCGAACAGG